rnacentral:sRNA from 1 species
UAACUGAACAGCGGCGCAGUAUCCUAGUCAGAUCUGCCGUUUCCUAAGAGGGGCCUAAAAAUCCCUUAAAGGGCACAACUGUGAAACCUCUGGUGCUUGCUUCUUACGCCCAGUUUGGGGUGGGUGCUGGAGGGAGGCGCGGCUUCGGCCGCUGCCUGCGGAUGUAGGGCGCCCUCCAAUGGCAUGGAGGACCCGACCCUGCCUCUGUGGAGACCUGCUCUUGUGCACAGGCGUACUCCCUUGUGGUAAGCGACCUGCGUACGAAGCAGAUGAUAAGAAACCUGCAAUGCGGUGCUAAAGUGGCUUCUGCCGCCCUAACGCUGUGUGCAGAGUAGCCUGCCUUGCGUGGGUUGGGUGGAUAGGGGAGCUGAUGCACCGACUCCCCGGCCAGGGACGACGUGAUAUUCCCUUGAAACCCUGCCUGCAAAAGAGGAUAAGAAACGGUUUGACUGCAGUGGAAAUCACCUAGGCUGUCCUACACGGGAUUCUGGGGGGAUUGCAGUGCGGACUAAGUGGCAGUCGGGUACCACGUUCCGGUAACAACGUGGCGCAGCGCUGAAAGGGAAACCGCCUGAUCGGCGACGAGAGGUGUGCUGCGGGGAAAGCCAACCCGUACCUAAGCCGUAAGAUUUACCUUCGGGGUUGCCCUGUU